GAUCCGACUGCCGCACACCAGGGCUGCUGCGGCGGCUGCUACGACGGCCCGUACGCGUCGGUCUCAGUCUAAUAUUUGCGCCGCGACUAAUGCGGAAGGCCGACUGUAUCGUCG